GUACAAGUUACUGUCCAGAAAUUUUCUGUUGUGAUUAUAGUGGUGACAAAGUUUGGUAAUCUUUGGAUGGGUGCCUGAGACCUGAGAAAAACCUUUGAAGAAUUAAACCCUCAGUUUUUAUGCCUCUAGCAGUUUUCAGUGAUGUGUAUUUGGCAUAAUGCCUAAAAGAUUGGCUUUAAGAAAAAUCUACUAUGGGGUGAAGGAUGCUGGCUUUAUUGUGAGAGUGAAGAGAAAAAAAAAAAUGGUGAGAUGCUGCAGUGAGAACCACGUUCACACUCUGGAGCCUGGCUUGCUUGUCUCAGCCUUUCCCAGAAUUCAGGUGAAUGAGAAGGUGCGGAAUACUGCAGUUAAAAUAAGAAAAGACAAGAAAAAGACCCCCCCCCCCAACAAAAGCUUGUCUCUUGAGCUCCCUUGGAGGAGGGCAGCAAGGGCUCACAGCCACCCUGUCAUUAAUUCUCUGCAAGUAUCUACAGCCUUUUCCAGACAGCCACAUUUUUCCACUGACAAACAUUUAAUUCUCAGUGACAUUUCUCCAUCAUUAUAAAUAGCAGGGAGUUUUUAAUCAUUUUUUAAGUGCCAACGCUUUUUUCGCCCAGUGGGGCGAUAGCGGUUUGAGCAAAGCCAUUUGGAUCCCAAAACAGAUCGAUUGGCAAGUCUUAUGCUUGGCUCUUCGAAGAGAACUGCUGAUUUUAGCACGUUAGGAAGUUUCACAAGGGUGUACAUUUUCAUAUUUUUCUCCUGUCGGUAGUUUCCAUGGCACCAACAUUUUUGUGUCGCAGUCGACAUUCCAGGGCAGCCCCGAUUACCUCUAAGGGUGUGAUACAUUUAGAAAAAAUUACCAAAAGGAAAUUAG
rnacentral:lncRNA from 1 species